UUCAAGCCAGAAGACUACAAUCUGGAGAGCAAGGACAAGACCUAUGCAGCAAGCUUACUAAAAGGCAAACCUCAGGGCACUUUUCUCUUACGACAGGGAAAUAGCACCCCGCAUGUACUAUGCGUGGUUGUAGACGGAAGCGUCAAGGAAUUCCAAGUUUUCCAAGAGACCCCGGGACGAAUUACUUUGAACAAGGACAAAUAUUUCCCUCACCUGGACAACUUGUUGUUGUUCUACAACCAGAACAAUCUCCCAAAGAAAGAGUAUGCGGUGAAGUUGUCGAAAGGAUAUAAUGCGCGUUGAUGGAGUUUAUAAAGUUAAUGACGUAAACGACGCCUACUAUGCCGUGACACGUAGGUUAACCCUUUCAGCGCUGGAACUGAAUUUUAAAGGCCGUUGCAAACAGUUUGGAUCCAGAUGAGAUGCCACAGAAUGUGGCGUCUCAUCAGGAUCCAAACUGUUUGCUAUUCUUAUAGUAUUCUUUGAAAAAAAAUCGAAGAAAAUUCUAAUUUUAGAAAUUCAGCUGACGACAUUUUAGCAGACGACAAAUUUCCCAGCAUGCAAAGGGUUAAGUGUGGGCAAAUUAAUGUCAUUGUGGUGUGACCGCAUAGCUGAGGGUCAACAAGUGACCAAAGCAAAACACUUUUAAUGUGAUCCUAUUUGAGAGUAGUGAAUACGUAUAUUAACGUGACUUAUAGAUGUAAUUUAUUAUAUUUCUGUAUUUUAUAAUUAAGAAAUAGUAAACUCUACUGAGGUCCCUAUGGCAUUAUAGUGACCAGCCAGGCACCCACAAACCGUAUAUGGACCGAAGCCGAAGGCUAAGGUCCAUAUACAGUUUGUGGCUGCCUGGCUGGUCACUAUAAUGCCAUUGGGACCGAAGUGGAGUUUACUAUUUCUUAUAUUACACCGAAGAGUUUCCCCUUUACCAUUGUGCAGUGUUGUACGAUUGUUUAUAGUUUAUAUCUAAAAGAGAUAAACAGAAGAAUUUCGCAGGAAUAAUGACGUCAUUUUACAGUAAAACAGUGCAAAUUUAGUGUUGUGUAACUCCGAACGGUCCAUAUACAAAAAAUAGUGACCGGUCCAUAUACUAUAAGUUCCUCUAUCGCAUUUUAUAGACUGAAACCGGUCAUAUAGAUAUAGAAGGACCAAUAUCUCUGAGGUGUAAUAUUGGUCAAUAUGUGAACGUGGUCGUAUUUGACGUUAGUGAACAUAUUGACGUAUUCACGGCCCUCGGUGAACGUAUCCAUUAACAUUUUACGUCAGUGAGAAACUCUACGUGGUUUACCUUUAUUGAACACAUGUAUGCGGCCAUAUUUUACUUAAGCGACGAUUGUUUAGUGGACAAAUUCUAUUUGUGUUUAUAAAUAUACGUUAUGAUACGUGAUGUAGAUGUGGAUAUCACGUUGACAUUUAAUUUGUAAACUUUUUUUUAGAUAUGCAAAGUAAUUUGUAAAAACAUAUACAUGUAUUCGUUGUACAUUUUUAGUUUUAAAAAGUCAUAAUAUUUUCAUUAUUUUCGAAUGAAGACAAUGUAAGAAAACGGCAUUACAUGACUGGAAUUUGAAAAUUUAUAAAUUAUAACUUAAAACGGAAUGAUACGUGUUUCCUAAAUUGUACUUGCCAGGUUGUUGCUGUUAAACUGUAAUUCGGGUAUUUUUUCGCAAAUGGUUGAUUUUACAUAUUUAUUUUAAAAGACAUUCUUAUGAUUUCUUUAAACGUCAAUGACACAUUUUACUUGCAUCGCAACUAGGUUGUAUUUGCAACUACAGAGUAUUUGUUUUACAAUAAAAAAAACACAUUCCUUUAUGACGCUAAAGAAGUAACCGUUAAUGUUUAGUUUGUUUAGUUGAAUCGUUCGCAGUUUCCAACAGUAGUUCAGUAAUAUUUCUGCGGGCAUUUCAUUAACGUAAACUCUCCCAAAAUUAUUUGGGCUACCAGUACAAAAAGAAUGAAGUUAAGCCACCGAUUUACAUUUUGCCUAUCCAAGUAGCGUUAGAAAGGUGUUAGAAAGCAUGUUUUCCAGGCGUCACAUUGUCCUCUUAUGGACCAUAAUCAGAACCAUGACGAAGCUUUAACCCUUGACCACUUAGAUACGUAUUCUGACGAAUGUGUAGUCCCUUAGAAAUUUAAUUGAAGGCCUUUCGUACUCGAUCAACGUUUUAAAGGUUUCAGUUCCAACCCAUAGAUACUGAUGACCAGCAAACAGCAUAAAACCUGAACAGAUUGCGAGUUACUCGCAGGCUGUUCUGGUUUUAUGCUGUUUGCACAUUUUCACUUAGCUUCUAAGUGGGAAAGGGUUAAGCCAGUAAUUAACUGUUGAAUGUACUGCCUUAAAAUAAAUAAACGCAAUGUUAUAAAUGUCGAUUGAGAUCUUCGCGAAAAGCAAACCCGCACGGGUUGAAAGUAUCCUUUCUCGACUCCCAUUGAAUGUAAACAAUGAAUAUAUUUCAUUGAUUGAUGUGUGGAUUAAAAUGAUGAGCGUUUAUACAUAUUGGCUGUCAAAACAGGUUUGAAAAUCAAGCUUGUGUACUUUUCGUAACGCUAUAUUUAUUCCUUGUACAGCGUGCUUGAUCAAAUGUUGUAGGCACUGAUAAAUACGCAAUUAAAGGGGCAAUGUCUUUGAAAAUAAUUGUAAAUUUAGAUCAAGUUAUGUUAAUUUAAUUUGCUUUAUACAUGUAAUACUCUAAGUUACCCUGUUACUUACCUCGUUAUCACAACAUAUGAUCAAAUUGUUAAAAACACACUAGCAUUACUGUUAAAAAGGUUGAAUUAUUUAUUCCCUACGUGUCCUUACUAAUUGUUUGCACACAAAACAGGCAUACCUAUAAUAAAAAAAUGCUUUAUACUCGAUACAAAAUUACAAAUAAUCCAAACAUCUUUGAUAUAUUCGAUUUAUUCCUGUUACAGUUUUGUUUCCGAACAAUCUCUCUCUUUUCUAAUGUCCAUUCAUGUAAGUAUUCCGAUGAAUAUAAUAUGAAAUUAAGCGUCAUAAAUAUAAAACUAUGGAACAGACAUAUUAGAACAUUAGUGCAUUUCUAUAGUUCAUUUUGAAUUUUGGUAAUAUGUUGCUUGAAAAACAUUUUUUUAAAACGUGUUGUAACUAAACGAUCUGUACAUUAACAAAGAUGGCAUUGAUGUCACAGGUAUUGUUCCUCUAUUUCAACUACCUCGUGAGUGUAUUGUGUCUAAUCUUGUUUUAUAACAUAUCUUACUUCCUUAUAUUCAAAACUUCGUUAGUUGGUGAAAUAGUAAUCGUUAACAAUUUCCAAUUGGUUUUCAAUGGACGAAUAAUAUAAAAUUAUGGUUGUAUGAUUUAGAGAAAAAAGUUUUCGAAUGUAAUAAUGUGCUCUCAAUGUGAGCUAUCAAAAUAAUAUCCAUGAUUGUUGUUAUUUUCCUUGACUUAAAUGCUGCUUGGUAUGAUUUUGUUAUGCUAUGCAUUACUACGCUUCAUUGCAAACUUACAUGUUGUUAACGAACGACAAGAACAACUGCUUUUCAUACAUUUUUACGUUGUUAAUCUCUGUGUGAUAGAUAACGUAAUACAUUGAAUUAAGGAAAUAUUCCAAGUAUUGGAACUCGCUUAUCGCAUGACCUAAUUUUAUUAAUUUACUUAUUUAUAGAUAUAUUGAUAUAAAAUCAUGUUCUGUAUAUUAAAUGUUUGAAUAAAUGUAUAUUAUUUCCAUAAAUGUUGCAAUAAAAUGAUGAAAUCAGA